rnacentral:rRNA from 1 species
GAUGAACGCUAGCGGCAGGCCUAACACAUGCAAGUCGAGGGGUAACAGAAAAGCUUGCUUUUGCUGACGACCGGCGCACGGGUGCGUAACGCGUAUGCAACCUACCUCAUACUGGAGGAUAGCCCCUGGAAACGGGGAUUAAUACUCCAUAGUAUCACAAUUUCGCAUGUUAUUGUGAUUAAAGUUUUUCGGUAUGAGAUGGGCAUGCGUCCCAUUAGCUUGUUGGUGAGGUAACGGCUCACCAAGGCAACGAUGGGUAGGGGGCCUGAGAGGGUGGUCCCCCACACUGGUACUGAGACACGGACCAGACUCCUACGGGAGGCAGCAGUGAGGAAUAUUGGUCAAUGGAGGAAACUCUGAACCAGCCAUGCCGCGUGAAGGAUGACGGCCCUAUGGGUUGUAAACUUCUUUUAUAGAGGAAGAAACUUGUCUACGUGUAGACAACUGACGGUACUCUACGAAUAAGGAUCGGCUAACUCCGUGCCAGCAGCCGCGGUAAUACGGAGGAUCCAAGCGUUAUCCGGAUUCAUUGGGUUUAAAGGGUCCGUAGGCGGAUUUUUAAGUCAGUGGUGAAAGCCGACAGCUCAACUGUCGAACUGCCAUUGAUACUGGAAAUCUUGAGUACAAAUGAAGUAGGCGGAAUGAGUCAUGUAGCGGUGAAAUGCAUAGAUAUGACUCAGAACACCGAUUGCGAAGGCAGCUUACUAACAUGUAACUGACGCUGAGGGACGAAAGCGUGGGGAGCGAACAGGAUUAGAUACCCUGGUAGUCCACGCCGUAAACGAUCAUCACUCGCUGUUGGCGAUAUACUGUCAGCGGCCAAGCGAAAGUAUUAAGUGAUGCACCUGGGGAGUACGCCGGCAACGGUGAAACUCAAAGGAAUUGACGGGGGCCCGCACAAGCGGUGGAGCAUGUGGUUUAAUUCGAUGAUACGCGAGGAACCUUACCAGGGCUUAAAUGUAGUAUGACCGGCUUGGAAACAGGCCUUCUCUUCGGAGCAGAUUACAAGGUGCUGCAUGGUUGUCGUCAGCUCGUGCCGUGAGGUGUUAGGUUAAGUCCUGCAACGAGCGCAACCCCUAUUCUUAGUUGCCAGCGGUUCGGCCGGGGACUCUAAGAAGACUGCCAGCGCAAGCUGAGAGGAAGGUGGGGAUGACGUCAAAUCAUCACGGCCCUUACGUCCUGGGCUACACACGUGCUACAAUGGUAGAGACAGAGGGCAGCCACCUGGUGACAGGGAGCGAAUCCUUAAACUCUAUCUCAGUUCGGAUCGGAGUCUGCAAACUCGACUCCGUGAAAGCUGGAAUCGCUAGUAAUCGCGCAUCAGCCAUGGCGCGGUGAAAUACGUUCCCGGGCCU